rnacentral:rRNA from 1 species
AGAGUUUGAUCCUGGCUCAGGAUGAACGCUGGCGGCGUGCCUAAUACAUGCAAGUCGAACGCAUAUCUUCGGAUAUGAGUGGCGAACGGGUGAGUAAUACAUAAGUAACCUGGCCUUAAGAGGGGGAUAACUAUUAGAAAUGAUAGCUAAGACCGCAUAGGUAUGAAGAUCGCAUGAUCGACAUAUUAAAUAUCCCAAGGGAUAGCUGAAGGAUGGACUUAUGGCGCAUUAGCUAGUUGGUAGGGUAACGGCCUACCAAGGCGACGAUGCGUAGCCGACCUGAGAGGGUGGACGGCCACACUGGGACUGAGACACGGCCCAGACUCCUACGGGAGGCAGCAGUAGGGAAUUUUCGGCAAUGGGGGGAACCCUGACCGAGCAACGCCGCGUGAGGGAGGAAGUAUUUCGGUAUGUAAACCUCUGUUAUAAAGGAAGAACGGUGCAUGUAGGGAAUGACAUGCAAGUGACGGUACUUUAUGAGGAAGCCACGGCUAACUACGUGCCAGCAGCCGCGGUAAUACGUAGGUGGCGAGCGUUAUCCGGAAUUAUUGGGCGUAAAGAGGGAGCAGGCGGCAGCUAAGGUCUGCGGUGAAAGCCCGAAGCUAAACUUCGGUAAGCCGUGGAAACCGAGCAGCUAGAGUGCAGUAGAGGAUCGUGGAAUUCCAUGUGUAGCGGUGAAAUGCGUAGAUAUAUGGAGGAACACCAGUGGCGAAGGCGACGAUCUGGGCUGCAACUGACGCUCAGUCCCGAAAGCGUGGGGAGCAAAUAGGAUUAGAUAUCCUAGUAGUCCACGCCGUAAACGAUGAGUACUAAGUGUUGGGGGUCAAACCUCAGUGCUGCAGUUAACGCUAUAAGUACUCCGCCUGAGUAGUACGUUCGCAAGAAUGAAACUCAAAGGAAUUGACGGGGGCCCGCACAAGCGGUGGAGCAUGUGGUUUAAUUCGAAGCAACGCGAAGAACCUUACCAGGUCUUGACAUCGAUCUAAAGGAUCCAGAGAUGGAUAGAUAGUUAUAGAGAAGACAGGUGGUGCAUGGUUGUCGUCAGCUCGUGUCGUGAGAUGUUGGGUUAAGUCCCGCAACGAGCGCAACCCUUGUCGUUAGUUACCAGCAGUAAGAUGGGGACUCUAGCGAGACUGCCUCUGCAAGGAGUAGGAAGGCGGGGAUGACGUCAAAUCAUCAUGCCCCUUAUGACCUGGGCUACACACGUGCUACAAUGGACGGAUCAAAGGGAAGCGAAGCCGCGAGGUGAAGCGAAACUCAAAAACCCGUUCUCAGUUCGGACUGCAGUCUGCAACUCGACUGCACGAAGUUGGAAUCGCUAGUAAUCGCGAAUCAGAAUGUCGCGGUGAAUACGUUCUCGGGCCUUGCACACACCGCCCGUCAA